GGUCAAGUUAUUAAGGGUGCAGGGCGGAUGCCUUGGCACUAGGAGCCGAUGAAGGACGUGAUAAGCUGCGAUAAGCUUCGGGGAGUUGCACGUAAACUUUGAUCCGAAGAUUUCCGAAUGAGGAAACUCACUUAGAGUAAUGUCUAAGUAUCAUUAAGUGAAUACAUAGCUUAAUGAGGGGAACUCAGGGAACUGAAACAUCUAAGUACCUGAAGGAAGAGAAAGAAAUUCGAUUCCGUAAGUAGCGGCGAGCGAACGCGGAUUAGCCCAAACCAAUAAAGUUUUCUUUAUUGGGGUUGCGGACAUAUCAUAACGAAGAGGUAUCGUAAUUGAAGAGGUUUGGAAAGACCCACCACAGAAGGUAAUAGUCCUGUAUGUUAAACGAGAAGACUUUAGAUAUGAUCCAGAGUACCACGGGACACGUGAAACCCUGUGGGAAGCAGGAGGGACCACCCUCCAAGGCUAAAUACUACCUAGUGACCGAUAGCGUAUAGUACCGUGAGGGAAAGGUGAAAAGAACCCCGGGAGGGGAGUGAAAUAGAACCUGAAACCCUGCACUUACAAGCUGUGGAAGCACAUUUCUUGUGUGACCGCGUACUUUUUGUAGAACGGGCCAACGAGUUACGUUAAGUAGCAAGGUUAAGCACUUAAGGUGUGGAGCCGUAGCGAAAGCGAGUUUUAACUGAGCGUUCAGUUACUUGACGUAGACCCGAAACCGGGCGACCUACCCAUGAGCAGGAUGAAGCGAAAGUAAAAUUUCGUGGAGGUCCGAACCCACGAGCGUUGAAAAGCUCGGGGAUGACUUGUGGGUAGCGGUGAAAUUCCAAUCGAGCCCGGAGAUAGCUGGUUCUCCCCGAAAUAGCUUUAGGGCUAGCCUCAAGGUGAGAGAUACGGAGGUAGAGCACUGAAUGUCCUAGGGGGUAUUGCACCUACCGAAGACUAUCAAACUCCGAAUGCCGUCAUCUUAUACUUGGGAGUCAGACUGUGGGUGAUAAGAUUCAUAGUCGAAAGGGCAACAGCCCAGAUCGUCAGCUAAGGUCCCUAAAUGUAAGUUAAGUGGUAAAGGAUGUGGGAUUGCACAGACAACCAGGAUGUUGGCUUAGAAGCAGCCACUCAUUCAAAGAGUGCGUAAUAGCUCACUGGUCGAGUGAUCCUGCGCCGAAGAUUUCCGGGGCUAAAACUU
rnacentral:rRNA from 1 species